UCUCCGUUGGUGAACCAGCGGAGGGAUCAUUAUCGAGUUUAUAACUCUCAAACCCUAUGUGAACUUACCACUUGUUGCUUCGGCGCGCGCUUCGGUGCCGCCGAGGACACUUAAACUCUUUGUUUUUAUAAGCAUUUCUGAGUGGCCGAAAGGCAAAAUACAAAUGAAUCAAAACUUUCGACAACGGAUCUCUUGGUUCUG
rnacentral:misc_RNA from 1 species